UGUAGGUGCUGAAACAUGGAGAAU
rnacentral:piRNA from 1 species